rnacentral:rRNA from 1 species
UACAGAGGUGGCAAGCGUUGUUCGGAAUCACUGGGCGUAAAGGGCGCGUAGGCGGCCAUUCAAGUCGGAGGUGAAAGCCCAGGGCUCAACCCUGGAAUUGCCUUCGAUACUGUUUGGCUAGAGACCGGAAGAGGUAAGUGGAACUGCGAGUGUAGAGGUGAAAUUCGUAGAUAUUCGCAAGAACACCAGUGGCGAAGGCGGCUUACUGGUCCGGUUCUGACGCUGAGGCGCGAAAGCGUGGGGAGCAAACAGG